rnacentral:rRNA from 1 species
CGGCAAUAGCUCAAAUUUGAAAUCUGGCUCUUUCAGGGUCCGAGUUGUAAUUUGCAGAGGGCGCUUUGGCGUCGGCAGCAGCCCAAGUUCCUUGGAACAGGUCAUCAUAGAGGGUGAGAAUCCCGU